UACAGAGGGUGCGAGCGUUGUCCGGAAUCACUGGGCGUAAAGGGCGCGUAGGUGGUGGCUUAAGCGUGCGGUGAAAGCUCGGAGCUCAACUCCGAGUCGGCCGUGCGAACUGGGCUCACUGGAGCAUAGUAGAGGCAGGUGGAAUUCCGGGUGUAGCGGUGGAAUGCGUAGAGAUCCGGAAGAACACCGGUGGCGAAGGCGGUUCUCUGGGCAUUACCUGACGCUGAGGAGCGAAAGUGUGGGGAGCGAACAGG
rnacentral:rRNA from 1 species